UGCAGGCAGAUUCUUUACCAGCUGAGCCACCAGGGAAGCCCAAACACACACAAGAGUGUGCUGGGGUUGGAGCCCCACCAAGGAGGUGGCAAGACUGCAGCAGCCACUGGUCAGAAGGCUUCACAACGGUGGAGGAGGAAGGAGCUGCAAGAGCAGAGGUAAUUGCAAGGAAAAGCUCAAACCGGCAAAGCAUCGUGAGAUGGGUAACAGGAAGCAAGAGUGAAAGACGACAAAAACAUCACCCAGAAUAUCAGUCUCAUGGAAAAUGGCAUUUCCAUUAGAACCACCACGAAAAUGCAUCCACACGGAAAAGGGUUUCUAAAAUAAUGCUCAAUGAGAAAAGCAAGACAUAAAACAGUGAAUGCACGAUGGCUGCAAUCACGUAUACAGAAGGCUGAAAUGUGGACGGGAAACCUAUCAGUAGAGAAUUCAAAACCACCAAACGACAGCCAUAGAAUUAUGGACAGACCAGUUUUCUUUUAAAACGACUUUUAAUCUUACGGUGAAGACACAUGUGUAUACACUCACCAUAUUUCUGUAGGCAAUUAGAGUGUACGGAAAUAUUCACUGCAGCCCUGUAACAAUUUACAAAACGGGAAGUGAUUCAAAUAUCCGUCUAUCAGGGGCAGAUCAAAUAAAUUCUGGCAUAUACAGAAAAUGACUUCCUAUGCCACUUGAAACACUGAGGUAUAUCUGUCUGUACUGACGUGCGGCUAAGUCUGUGAGAUACAGCCAAGUAAAAUUUUUAAAAGGCAAGAUGCAGAAAAACAUGCAUGGUAUAAUAAUAUUUUUAUUAAAAGAAAUAACUGCAUUAGUAUAUGCUGGUAUAUAUACAGGAAAGAAAGAGUUUGGAGUAAUAGACACAAAUGCAGGGAAAAUUAUGGGACUGCAUGUUUUCAUUUCCUACAUUAAUGUAUGUCUCUGACGCUUGAAUUUUGUAUGAUAUGAACCUAUGUGGGUCACAAUUUUAAAGAGUGAAAAUUGAACCAAAAUUUUUGAAAGCGACUAGCAUAUGCGGGCUUCCCUGGUGGUUCAGUGUUAAAGAAUCCGCCUGCAAUUCCGGAGACACAGGAGAUGCAGGUUCGAUCCCUGGGUCAGAAAGAUCCCCUGG
rnacentral:lncRNA from 1 species